GACGAACGCUGGCGGCGUGCCUAAUACAUGCAAGUUGAGCGCUGAAGGUUGGUACUUGUACCCACUGGAUGAGCAGCGAACGGGUGAGUAACGCGUGGGGAAUCUGCCUUUGAGCGGGGGACAACAUUUGGAAACGAAUGCUAAUACCGCAUAAAAACUUUAAACACAAGUUUUAAGUUUGAAAGAUGCAAUUGCAUCACUCAAAGAUGAUCCCGCGUUGUAUUAGCUAGUUGGUGAGGUAAAGGCUCACCAAGGCGAUGAUACAUAGCCGACCUGAGAGGGUGAUCGGCCACAUUGGGACUGAGACACGGCCCAAACUCCUAAGGGAGGCAGCAGUAGGGAAUCUUCGGCAAUGGACGAAAGUCUGACCGAGCAACGCCGCGUGAGUGAAGAAGGUUUUCGGAUCGUAAAACUCUGUUGGUAGAGAAGAACGUUGGUGAGAGUGGAAAGCUCAUCAAGUGACGGUAACUACACAGAAAGGGACGGCUAACUACGUG
rnacentral:rRNA from 1 species